rnacentral:rRNA from 1 species
GAUGAACGCUAGCUACAGGCUUAACACAUGCAAGUCGAGGGUUAGCAUGGUCUUAGCUUGCUAAGGCCGAUGGCGACCGGCGCACGGGUGAGUAACACGUAUCCAACCUGCCGUCUACUCUUGGACAGCCUUCUGAAAGGAAGAUUAAUACAAGAUGGCAUCAUGAGUCCGCAUGUUCACAUGAUUAAAGGUAUUCCGGUAGACGAUGGGGAUGCGUUCCAUUAGAUAGUAGGCGGGGUAACGGCCCACCUAGUCUUCGAUGGAUAGGGGUUCUGAGAGGAAGGUCCCCCACAUUGGAACUGAGACACGGUCCAAACUCCUACGGGAGGCAGCAGUGAGGAAUAUUGGUCAAUGGGCGAGAGCCUGAACCAGCCAAGUAGCGUGAAGGAUGACUGCCCUAUGGGUUGUAAACUUCUUUUAUAAAGGAAUAAAGUCGGGUAUGGAUACCCGUUUGCAUGUACUUUAUGAAUAAGGAUCGGCUAACUCCGUGCCAGCAGCCGCGGUAAUACGGAGGAUCCGAGCGUUAUCCGGAUUUAUUGGGUUUAAAGGGAGCGUAGAUGGAUGUUUAAGUCAGUUGUGAAAGUUUGCGGCUCAACCGUAAAAUUGCAGUUGAUACUGGAUAUCUUGAGUGCAGUUGAGGCAGGCGGAAUUCGUGGUGUAGCGGUGAAAUGCUUAGAUAUCACGAAGAACUCCGAUUGCGAAGGCAGCCUGCUAAGCUGCAACUGACAUUGAGGCUCGAAAGUGUGGGUAUCAAACAGGAUUAGAUACCCUGGUAGUCCACACGGUAAACGAUGAAUACUCGCUGUUUGCGAUAUACAGCAAGCGGCCAAGCGAAAGCGUUAAGUAUUCCACCUGGGGAGUACGCCGGCAACGGUGAAACUCAAAGGAAUUGACGGGGGCCCGCACAAGCGGAGGAACAUGUGGUUUAAUUCGAUGAUACGCGAGGAACCUUACCCGGGCUUAAAUUGCAGAUGAAUUACGGUGAAAGCCGUAAGCCGCAAGGCAUCUGUGAAGGUGCUGCAUGGUUGUCGUCAGCUCGUGCCGUGAGGUGUCGGCUUAAGUGCCAUAACGAGCGCAACCCUUGUUGUCAGUUACUAACAGGUUCCGCUGAGGACUCUGACAAGACUGCCAUCGUAAGAUGUGAGGAAGGUGGGGAUGACGUCAAAUCAGCACGGCCCUUACGUCCCGGGCUACACACGUGUUACAAUGGGGGGUACAGAGGGCCGCUACCACGCGAGUGGAUGCCAAUCCCCAAAACCUCUCUCAGUUCGGACUGGAGUCUGCAACCCGACUCCACGAAGCUGGAUUCGCUAGUAAUCGCGCAUCAGCCACGGCGCGGUGAAUACGUUCCCGGGCCUUGUACACACCGCCCGUCAAGCCAUGGGAGCCGGGGGUACCUGAAGUGCGUAACCGCGAGGAG